rnacentral:lncRNA from 1 species
CGUAACACUACCUCAGGUUACUGAAGAAUACAAUAAUACACCUCAAUUCUGUAGCAAAAUUCCCGCAUCUUUAAUGAGUUUUAUUGCUCCUGUAUUGUAAUCUACAUGACCAAAAGCAUUCUCGUGAAGUGAAAACAUCCUUCAUCGGUGUAUGCAAAGGACCAACAGACACUUCGUUUAGAUUUUGUAAUCGAAAACUGAAUUUUGACUUAAUACAUUCUGCAGGCAUCUGAAUGAACAGAAUGAAAGAGCAAAGGGGUGCACAAUUGUUAUUUGGUAGCGUUCUUGAAUUUGGAUCCUCUCAUAGAAAGGCAGCUCAGGAUUAAAAUGGCAUUCAGAAUUUAAUGGAGCCAUGCAAUGAGUUAUGCAAAGACUGAAGAAAAGAAAAAACAAAGUUCAUAAUAACCCAAGUAUUUUUUAUCUUGUCUCUCAUAUAUACCGAUUAAUAGUUUCAUUAAACAUGUUUUCAUUAUUAAA